UACGUAGGGCGCAAGCGUUGUCCGGAAUUAUUGGGCGUAAAGAGCUCGUAGGCGGUUUGUCGCGUCUGCUGUGAAAACUGGGGGCUCAACCCCCAGCCUGCAGUGGGUACGGGCAGACUAGAGUGCGGUAGGGGAGACUGGAAUUCCCGGUGUAGCGGUGAAAUGCGUAGAUAUCGGUAGGAACACCAGUGGCGAAGGCGGUCUCCUGGGGCAUUCUUGACGCUGAGGCGCGAAAGCUGGGGGAGCGAACGGG
rnacentral:rRNA from 1 species